GUCACGCCGCCCGCCUGCACCGGGGGCCAAGCCAGGGCUGCGCGCCCAAGCCAACAGCAGCCACAACUCGCCUGACCCUCCCCUGGGGUUCGGCGGCGGUAGCCGGCGUCUCGUGCUGUGGUCUCGCUUUCCUUUCCUCCUCCAAACAACUUGGCAUUAUCAUCAACUUUCCCGCAUCCAGCAGGCCAGGCCAAGGGCUUUAUUAACAUAGAAUAACAGUAUCUCGCCACAGGCCAGCCAGCAUGGGUGCUGCUCCGAGUCGAGUUUGACUGCAGUGUUAAGCUGGCUAAAAAUGAAGAAAUAAGGAAGAGACAAGAUGUCCCAGACCCUUUCAUCCCCACAGUAGUGACAGAGGUGGAAGAAAGCUGAAUCCAGCAGAAAGGACGAGUGGAUUUCAGCAGAGAGCACCGAAGAGGAAUUAUCUCUGAAAGUAAUGUGCUGGCCAACAAAGCACAACCGAUAACUUGCAAGGCCAUUGUGGACCUGAAAUGCUAGCAGUGGUCAAAGCAAAUUAAGACUUUUAUUAAGGGACCCUUAUGUAUCAUUUUAGUGAAGCAGGAUUACACUGCCAGCCCUGCAGAGGGAGAUUUAGUCAGGUAAUUCUCAUUAAGGGGCAAACCUCUCUGACUUCUGUGGGUGCUUUGCCUGAUUAAGUACUGAAGAACCAGGCCCUAAGGUUGGUCCAGCUGAGCUCUAACCUAUCUGGCUUUAUGCAAGCAAAAGCUUCAUAUAUCAGCCAGAGCUCAUGCAGAGGAGUCUUACCAGGCACUCUAAUCCUAAGGGGAAACAUUUCAUUGCAAUGCACAGCAAUUUGCAUUCUUUCUCAAAACUCUGCUAUUACAUUAUCCAUUUUUCUCUUGAUUAAAAGAGAUCAAGAAGUGCACUCUCACAUGCUACACAUGCAGGCUUUCCAUACAGGAGGCCUGAAAUACACAUUCACAUUCAGACUGGAGGAGAUCUGGCAACUUCCAGCUCUUAAUGGAUUUAUGCUGUUCUAAUAAUAGUCACAGUUUACUGAUAAUGAUCGAGGAGGGAAGUUACUGUGUUUUUUGUUGUGGGUGUUGUAUUUCCAAGAUAUUCAAGUGUUUUCAGAAGUAUCCAAUGCCAAAAAGUUCUUAAACACUGUAAGCACUCUGAGCUUGUGCAGGUAACUUUAAUUUUACCUACAGAAGGUCAGCCUAUGGAAAUAGUUACUUCCAGCAGCAGACAUGGAACUGGAGCUACACUGGCACAAAGAAAAUUUCAGAAGGUAGGCAUGAAAAUCUCCAAGUUUUCAGGCCUCUGGAUUACAGUUUUUAUUACACAGUCCAUCCCCAACACCUUCCCUCUGGGAAUGCCUUGGGAAAAUAACCAGGGAUGUAAUCACAAAGGGCAGGGAUAUAAUCACAAAAGGCUUCUUCUGAUCUUGCAAAAAGCGUGGACAAUCUUUGGGUCCUCUUCACCUGUGCUUUUACUCUUGCAUAAGCACUAAGAAGAUUAGUACACACAGAGCAAGAACCCAUCCCUGAUCCAUCACUGAUUUUUCAGGAACUGGUAUUUGCCUGUAUCACAAUGACCCACAAAUGAAAUGUGGGUAAUGGCAUGAAGGGGACUAUGUACGGUAUCUAAACUAGGUUGAUUGUGUAGUAUAAAAAUUAUCUGAGUGUGCAAAAUGGAAAACAUUUAUUUAAGAAGUUGAAUGUCUCAACUAAUAACAAGGUAAAAAAAAACAGCCUGGUAUUGCCAACAUUGGCUGUUUUCUAGAAUAGAUUACUCAAAGAAAUUGAUUUUGGCUAAAAGCCAUCUACUUCCUCAGAGAUAAGUCUGGCUUCUUCUCCAAACAUUGCCAUACUAGGUUUGGCCUGAGGGCUCUGAGUGGAAAUUUUUAUACAUGAGCACAUGGAGCAAGACAUGCAAGUGAAAAAAGUGGGAAGGAGGAAAUCUUACAUGAAUUUAACAUCUCUUAUUCUCCAUUUUUCAACCAGAGAGGAGAAAUAAGAGUUUUGAGACACUCUAAGGAGCUACUAAAAUCAAUAAUACCUAUCUCCACAGGAAUUAAAUGAAUACUUCUGGAGACAUUCUGGUUUCAUACCAGUAGAUUGACCUGCUCAGAUGAACUAUUAAAGAAGGAGUUUUUGUAUUUUUGUGAUCUGCAUUUUUUUCUCAAUCUUACCUCUUCCAAAAAAAGUUAAUAAACCUUUUUGAUCCAAUACUGGCUGUGCAUCCCGAUAUAUUUAGUAGUUGUAGGAGGUGUUGUAUUUUUAAGAGAACACUCAAGUAGGAAUAAAGUAAAUUUCACCAAUGUCUAUUAAUUACAAUAGUGGAGGAAUGAGAAUCCAUGCCUGUCUGUUGGUUCCAAAGAUCAUUGUUACAGUAGGUUCUCUAAUUUAUGAACAGAAAAUAAGUAACUGUGCAUGGUAUAUAGGAGAAGUAGAAAAAAGUAAAAGGAUUUAGGACAGCACAAGUAUUCAAUUUUUCAAGAGCCAUCAGAAGCCUCGGGCACACUAGCUCUUUGUAGUUAAGGAAAAGUUGCUGUGUGUUGAAUCUUGCUUCCUCUUAUGUCUGUGUAAAGAAAACUGUGCGCUACUUGGGCCACUGAAUAGUGUAUUCAGUGGACUUAUUACUAUCUGUUGCAGAGUCCCCACUCCCUCCUGCAGUAGGUGGAAUUGUCUUUGAAUUGUGAUGCUUUCUAAAAUUACACAAGUAGAAGUUUAAUACAAUUAUCAAUCUCAGGUAAUUGCUUCCCACUCCCAUAAUGCUGUAUAGCACUAUAUGCUGUAUGUCUGUUUGUCAAAAUGGAAACAAUUGCUUCCAUCUGCAGCUUGUAUUUUAGGUGCAGGUCAGAAGGCUUGAACCACGUCAAAUUUGCCACCUUAAAGUCAUUUGCAAAGUUUAGUAUAAACUGUAUCAGCCUAUAGCAUAAACAAGCUGGAAAUUAUAAGCAGUUUGUGAUAUCUCACUGAACAACAAAUAUUAAGAAAUAAAUAUUUUCUUGGAAUGUUA